CGAACGUGGAGGAAUUAGUAUUUAGGUAUCAUAUCAUUGGAGUGACAUUUUCAAUACCCUACUGCCGAAAAUCAUCAUGGGACGGCCAUUUUUUUAUGAUAUAAAAAUAAUAAGCAAGGUGAUGAGCAAUACGAAGUCUUACCAUUACUAUUGACAAUUUACAGUAAAGAAAAUAUCACGUUCACCCCGUUAAGAUUGAAAAUGAUAGGAAGAAGAGAUCCAGCUUGUGCAUGUACUAAAUCACCGUAUAUGUCUCACUAUAGUGUCCAGUGGUAUCAUGGUUAGUGUCUUUGUAUCUUACUCAGAUGCCAGGAGUUUGCGCUUCCCUAAGGCGAUGUGAAAUCACUGGCUCUAUCACAGCCGGUUACUACUGCAGAGCGGGGUCUGCAGUGGUUGGAUUGGGGAACUUGGCUGAGGUUUGCCUGAGUGCAGUAAUGUGGUGAAGAACUGAGACCAAGCACCUUGCAACUUUCAAAUGGCCGAGUAACUUAGCAGAAUUUAAGCUGAAGGCACAUAGAGUAUGCUAUCAGUGAACAAAUCCAGAUUACCAGCCAACUUCCUUGAGGCAUAAGUGAACUCAAUGCAAUUUGUUUUACUUUACUGCACUGUAGUUCUAAAUCUUCAUAUUUACCAUAGGCUUUCAAGAAAUGAUUUACAUAAAACAUCUUGCAGAAGAACAAAUCACACACCACACACAAUGUAAUACAUGUAAUGUAUGUGUGUGUGUGUGUGUGCGUGUAGCACAUGCUGCUAGGAACCUCGCCCCUUGAAUUCUUGUUGAAAAUCAGAGGGGUAUUAAAUAAUAGUUGGUUAGUCAAAUUUAUUGGAUAGAAUAACAAUAUAAUGGCAAAUAUCUAGUAUGAUAGCAGUAUGAUUAUUGACAUUUUAAUUUAUCCAUAUAUAUAUACGAAUAUUGAUAUACUAAUUAGAUAUUAUUUAUCAUAACAUGGUACUUGUAUGAACAGAACUAAGUUCAUUUCAAACCUUAGUAGUAUGCAAUAUGAAAAGUAAUCUGUUAAGUUAUUUUUCUAAAUAGUCUGUGUAAUAAAACUUAUUGCGCAGUCAGCAGUA